UGAGUAACGCGUGGGUAACCUGCCCUUAAGUCUGGGAUACCAUUUGGAAACAGAUGCUAAUACCGGAUAAAAGCUACUUUCGCAUGAAAGAAGUUUAAAAGGCGGCGUAAGCUGUCGCUAAAGGAUGGACCUGCGAUGCAUUAGCUAGUUGGUAGGGUAACGGCCUACCAAGGCGAUGAUGCAUAGCCGAGUUGAGAGACUGAUCGGCCACAUUGGGACUGAGACACGGCCCAAACUCCUACGGGAGGCAGCAUUA
rnacentral:rRNA from 1 species